GCCCGCUUCACCUAUGCGUCCCUAUUCGCUCGCUCUCCAUUCUAAAGCAUCUUCACUUAUGAUUGAGGCCUUCGUCGAUUCCCCCGCCCAUAGCGUCGACCCCGGCCAACAGUCCCACUGCCACUUGCAACGAGGACGUGGUGGUUCUUGGAGCUGAGCUGCUCGCAGGUGGCGGAGUGGGAUCCGACAGAGUUGGCCCAGGUG
rnacentral:lncRNA from 1 species